rnacentral:rRNA from 1 species
GACGAACGCUGGCGGCGUGCCUAAUACAUGCAAGUAGAACGCUGAAGGAGGAGCUUGCUUCUCCGGAUGAGUUGCGAACGGGUGAGUAACGCGUAGGUAACCUGCCUGGUAGCGGGGGAUAACUAUUGGAAACGAUAGCUAAUACCGCAUAACAGUAGAUAUCGCAUGAUAUCUGCUUGAAAGGCGCAAUUGCAUCACUACCAGAUGGACCUGCGUUGUAUUAGCUAGUUGGUGAGGUAACGGCUCACCAAGGCGACGAUACAUAGCCGACCUGAGAGGGUGAUCGGCCACACUGGGACUGGGACACGGCCCAGACUCCUACGGGAGGCAGCAGUAGGGAAUCUUCGGCAAUGGACGGAAGUCUGACCGAGCAACGCCGCGUGAGUGAAGAAGGUUUUCGGAUCGUAAAGCUCUGUUGUAAGAGAAGAACGAGUGUGAGAGUGGAAAGUUCACACUGUGACGGUAUCUUACCAGAAAGGGACGGCUAACUACGUG